rnacentral:rRNA from 1 species
GACGAACGCUGGCGGCGUGCCUAAUACAUGCAAGUCGAACGCACAGUUUAUACCGUAGCUUGCUACACCAUAGACUGUGAGUUGCGAACGGGUGAGUAACGCGUAGGUAACCUGCCUGGUAGCGGGGGAUAACUAUUGGAAACGAUAGCUAAUACCGCAUAAUAUUGAUUAUUGCAUGAUAAUUGAUUGAAAGAUGCUAUUUCAUCACUACCUGCUGGACCUGUGUUGUAUUAGCUAGUAGGUGAGGUAACGGCUCACCUAGGCGACGAUACAUAGCCGACCUGGGAGGGGGAUCGGCCACACUGGGACUGAGACACGGCCCAGACUCCUAAGGGAGGGAGCAGGAGGGAAACUUCGGCAAUGGACGAAAGGCUGACCGAGGAACGCCGCGUGAGUGAAGAAGGUUUUCGGAUCGUAAAGAUCUGUUGUAAGAGAAGAACGGGUGUGAGAGUGGAAAGUGCACACUGUGACGGUAUCUUACCAGAAAGGGACGGCUAACUACGUG